GUACUUAAAAUCCGUCGACUUUAGAAAUCGUGAGGGUUCAAGUCCCUCUAUCCCCCUCAAAAAGGGCCCGUUUGA
rnacentral:tRNA from 1 species